rnacentral:rRNA from 1 species
UACGUAGGGCGCAAGCGUUAUCCGGAAUUAUUGGGCGUAAAGAGCUCGUAGGCGGUUUGUCGCGUCUGCCGUGAAAGUCCGGGGCUCAACUCCGGAUCUGCGGUGGGUACGGGCAGGCUAGAGUUCGGUAGGGGAGACUGGAAUUCCUGGUGUAGCGGUGAAAUGCGCAGAUAUCAGGAGGAACACCGAUGGCGAAGGCAGGUCUCUGGGCCGAUACUGACGCUGAGGAGCGAAAGCGUGGGGAGCGAACAGG